rfam:Solanum tuberosum cultivar DM 1-3 516 R44 scf00736_5, whole genome shotgun sequence.
UUGAAGAAUUUGAAGACUUCAACUUGCAAACUUGAAGAAUUUAAAGACUUCAACUUGCAUACUUGGAGAUUUUGAAAACUUCAUCU